rnacentral:rRNA from 1 species
CGACAUGGGCUCUCCACCAUUGCGGUGCUUACGGCAUGGUCGCUUUGGCGUCACCGUAAUGCUGUGAUCUUCGACAAGAUUACACCCUCUUCCGCCUCUCUCCUAGCUGCGAUUCAAGAAGAGGCACACUCCUGGACCAGCGCAGGAGUUAAAGGACUUGGCACUAUUAUCCCUGUAAUGUCAUCAUUUUUGUAG